GGUUAAGCGACUAAGCGUACACGGUGGAUGCCCUGGCAGUCAGAGGCGAUGAAGGACGUGCUAAUCUGCGAUAAGCGCCGGUAAGGUGAUAUGAACCGUUAUAACCGGCGAUUUCCGAAUGGGGAAACCCAGUGUGACUCGUCACACUAUCAUUAACUGAAUCCAUAGGUUAAUGAGGCGAACCGGGGGAACUGAAACAUCUAAGUACCCCGAGGAAAAGAAAUCAACCGAGAUUCCCCCAGUAGCGGCGAGCGAACGGGGAGGAGCCCAGAGCCUGAAUCAGCAUGUGUGUUAGUGGAAGCGUCUGGAAAGGCGCGCGAUACAGGGUGACAGCCCCGUACACAAAAGCGCAUGUG
rnacentral:rRNA from 1 species